rnacentral:rRNA from 1 species
GAUGAACGCUGGCGGCGUGCCUAAUACAUGCAAGUCGAGCGAACAGACGAGGAGCUUGCUCCUCUGACGUUAGCGGCGGACGGGUGAGUAACACGUGGAUAACCUACCUAUAAGACUGGGAUAACUUCGGGAAACCGGAGCUAAUACCGGAUAAUAUAUUGAACCGCAUGGUUCAAUAGUGAAAGACGGUUUUGCUGUCACUUAUAGAUGGAUCCGCGCCGCAUUAGCUAGUUGGUAAGGUAACGGCUUACCAAGGCAACGAUGCGUAGCCGACCUGAGAGAGUGAUCGGCCACACUGGAACUGAGACACGGUCCAGACUCCUACGAGAGGCAGCAGUAGGGAAUCUUCCGCAAUGGGCGAAAGCCUGACGGAGCAACGCCGCGUGAGUGAUGAAGGUCUUCGGAUCGUAAAGCUCUGUUAUUAGGGAAGAACAAAUGUGUAAGUAACUAUGCACGUCUUGACGGUACCUAAUCAGAAAGCCACGGCUAACUACGUG